rnacentral:ncRNA from 2 species
AAGGCAAUAAGUUUUACAGGUGCCCUUUAGGGAGAAUAGGAAACCGGGUGUGAUUCCCGGACGGACCCGCCACUGUGAAGGGGAGCGUUUACUUAAUCCACUCCAGCAAUGCUGGGGGAAGGGAGUAAAUUGCUAUGAUCCGAGUCAGGAGACCUGCCUGUAAAAUUACUGUGUC